ensembl:snoRNA LOC120102727 small nucleolar RNA SNORA17
CCCGCCUCCCAAAGGCAUUGCAGGUAUGUCAGUAGGAGGUAGAGAAAAGAAAAGCUAUGCAGAUGCUCAGCUCACUGAUGUCCUGACCUAAGAACAUCUGAAUUAUUAGUAGCCUAACAUU